GAAAAUCUCAACUCAGUGGUGGUAGCAUAUUUUUAUGACUCUGCUAACUCUGCUAAUUCCAUGUGAUAAUAGAGAAGAACCACUCAGGGCAAUGGCAAGAGACUGGAGAAUUGUGAGGAACGAUGACCUAGAGUUUUUUCGACCUGUGUUGUCUGAUAUGCUAGGUACUAGCCCCACGUGGACAUUCAGCACUUAAAAUGUGAGACUAAGUGCUGUUGCGUGGAGGCAUGUGCUGCUCUGCGGGGUGUGCCCUUCAUCUGGAGAUCCACUGCAGG